rnacentral:rRNA from 1 species
UGGGGAAUUUUGCGCAAUGGGGGAAACCCUGACGCAGCAACGCCGCGUGGAGGAUGAAGUCCUUCGGGACGUAAACUCCUUUCGAUCGGGACGAUAAUGACGGUACCGGAAGAAGAAGCCCCGGCUAACUUCGUGCCAGCAGCCGCGGUAAUACGAGGGGGGCGAGCGUUGUUCGGAAUUAUUGGGCGUAAAGGGUGCGUAGGCGGUUUGGUAAGUCUUAUGUGAAAUCUAUGGGCUCAACUCAUAGACUGCAUGAGAAACUGCCGGGCUUGAGUGUGGGAGAGGUGAGUGGAAUUCCUGGUGUAGCGGUGAAAUGCGUAGAUAUCAGGAGGAACACCUGUGGCGAAAGCGGCUCACUGGACCAUAACUGACGCUGAUGUACGAAAGCUAGGGGAGCAAACAGGAUUAGAUACCCCCGUAGUCC